rnacentral:rRNA from 1 species
AUUGAACGCUGGCGGCAUGCCUUACACAUGCAAGUCGAACGGCAGCGGACCUUCGGGUGCCGGCGAGUGGCGAACGGGUGAGUAAUAUAUCGGAACGUACCUUUCAGUGGGGGAUAACGUAGCGAAAGUUACGCUAAUACCGCAUAUUCUGUGAGCAGGAAAGCAGGGGAUCGCAAGACCUUGCGCUGAUUGAGCGGCCGAUAUCAGAUUAGCUAGUUGGUGAGGUAAAGGCUCACCAAGGCGACGAUCUGUAGCGGGUCUGAGAGGAUGAUCCGCCACACUGGAACUGAGACACGGUCCAGACUCCUACGGGAGGCAGCAGUGGGGAAUUUUGGACAAUGGGCGCAAGCCUGAUCCAGCCAUGCCGCGUGAGUGAAGAAGGCCUCGGGUUGUAAAGUACGUCUUUCGGUCCGGGUAACGGAAAGUACG